CCUACGGGUGGCUGCAGUGGGGAAUAUUGCACAAUGGGGGAAACUCUGAUGCAGCAACGCCGCGUGAGUGAAGAAGUCUUUCGGUAUGUAAAGCUCUAUCAGCAGGGAAGAAAAUGACAGUACCUGACUAAAAUGCGCCGGCUAACUACGGGCACGCAGCCGCGGUAAUACGUAGGGGGCACGCGUUUUCCGGAUUUACUGGGUGUAAAGGGCGUGUAGACGGAGGCGCAAGUCAGAAGUGAAAGCCCGGGGAUCAACCGCUGGACUGCUUUUGAAACUGUGUAGCUAGAGUGCAGGAGAGGUAAGUGGAAUUCCUAGUGUAGCGGUGAAAUGCGUAGAUAUAAGGAAGAACACCAGUGGCGAAGGCGGAUUACUGGACUAUAACUGACGUUGAGGCUCGAAAGCGUGGGGAGCAAACAGGAUUAGAUACCCUAGUAGUC
rnacentral:rRNA from 1 species